UGGGGAAUCUUCCGCAAUGGACGAAAGUCUGACGGAGCAACGCCGCGUGAGUGAUGACGGCCUUCGGGUUGUAAAGCUCUGUUAAUCGGGACGAAUGGUUCUUGUGCAAAUAGUGCGAGGAUUUGACGGUACCGGAAUAGAAAGCCACGGCUAACUACGUGCCAGCAGCCGCGGUAAUACGUAGGUGGCAAGCGUUGUCCGGAAUUAUUGGGCGUAAAGCGCGCGCAGGCGGAUUGGUCAGUCUGUCUUAAAAGUUCGGGGCUUAACCCCGUGAUGGGAUGGAAACUGCCAAUCUAGAGUAUCGGAGAGGAAAGUGGAAUUCCUAGUGUAGCGGUGAAAUGCGUAGAUAUUAGGAAGAAUACCAGUGGCGAAGGCGACUUUCUGGACGAAAACUGACGCUGAGGCGCGAAAGCCAGGGGAGCGAACGGGAUUAGAUACCCCGGUAGUCCUGGCCGUAAACGAUGGGUACUAGGUGUAGGAGGUAUCGACCCCUUCUGUGCCGGAGUUAACGCAAUAAGUACCCCGCCUGGGGAGUACGACCGCAAGGUUG
rnacentral:rRNA from 1 species